rfam:Cavia porcellus supercont2_90 genomic scaffold, whole genome shotgun sequence.
GGGGAUUUAGCUCAGUGGCAUAAGCACCUGCCUUGCAAGCAGGCGGCGUGAGUUCGAUCCCUG